UACGGAGGUGGCGAGCGUUGUUCGGAAUUACUGGGCGUAAAGCGCGCGUAGGCGGGGAGGCAAGUCGGGAGUGAAAACCCUCGGCUCAACUGAGGAACUGCGCCCGAAACUGCCUCUCUUGAGUCCCGGAGAGGAAGGUGGAAUUCCCGGUGUAGCGGUGAAAUGUGUAGAGAUCGGGAGGAACACCCGUGGCGAAGGCGGCCUUCUGGACGGUGACUGACGCUGAGGCGCGAAAGCGUGGGGAGCAAACGGC
rnacentral:rRNA from 1 species